UCCGGUGGUUCUUGCGAUGGGGAAAUACCCGAUCCCAUUCCGAACUCGGUCGUCAAGCCCAUCAGCGCCGAUGAUACUCUUUAUGGGGAAAGUAGGUCGCCGCCGGUG
rnacentral:rRNA from 7 species